CCUUCCCCGCUAUAUAAUAUAUCUUCCUCACACACAGAUGCACACACUUUUCCUCCCCAUGUCCUUGUUCUAAAUCUAACCCUAAUUCCCAAUUCCCCAAUCUUCUUAUUCCACCAAUAACGCUCCAAUCUCCGCUCCAAUUUUUCGAUUUUGUUUUUGCUUUUAUUUUUCAAUUUAAUUUGUAUACCUGUAAUAAGAAUCAGGGUUUAUAUUGAUAAUUAUCCAUGUAUUUAGGGAUUUUUGAUUUUCUUGAUUAUCGUGUCGAUAACUAGGCCUUUCGCUGUUGGUAGUAUACAAUUUUGGAUUGAUUUUUUUAUUUUAUUUUUAUAGAUGGCUGAUUUGUAAUCGAAGAUUAGGGAUUUAGGGUUAGGGUUUUGAUUUCUGAGACUGUGAUGGAAAUGGAGAGCUCGCGUAGGCCGUUUAGCGGAUCGAAUGAACCAGGCUUGAAGAAGCCCCGAUUGGCCGAAAACCCGAAUGGCCGAGCUUUUGGGCAGAGACCUGGUGGGGGAGCUAAUCCAGUGCUGUCAAGAUUCAGAGUGAGUGAUAGAGACACCGGGAGCGAUGACCCGAAUCGCGGGGGUGGGGGCUAUGUGCCGCAGCCACUGCAGCAUCAGGAGCUUGUGAGCCAGUACAAGACGGCGUUGGCGGAGCUCACCUUCAAUUCAAAGCCAAUUAUUACCAAUCUGACGAUAAUUGCUGGUGAGAACCUCCACGCAGCGAAGGCGGUGGCGGCAACUGUAUGCAGCCACAUUAUUGAGGUUCCUAGCGAGCAGAAGUUACCAUCACUUUAUCUUUUGGACAGUAUUGUAAAGAAUAUCGGAAGGGAUUAUAUCAAAUAUUUUGCUGUCAGACUCCCUGAGGUGUUCUGCAAGGCAUAUAGGCAGGUUGAACCUCCUAUACAUCAAAGUAUGCGACAUCUUUUUGGAACAUGGAAAGGAGUGUUUCCUGCUCAGACACUUCAGAUGAUUGAGAAAGAACUUGGAUUUUCUUCUACGGCAAAUGGUUCAUCCACUGGAGCAGCAACAUCAAGACCAGAUUCGCAGUCACAGCGACAAGCACAUAGCAUUCAUGUGAAUCCCAAAUAUUUGGAAAGGCAACGUCUUCAGCAGCCAACUAGGAAUUUGCAGCAGUCCAAUGCAGAUGCACUUAGCGAGCGUGUUCAUGAGAAGAACAUUGAUGCUGAAUAUGGAGAAUAUGAAUAUGGUUCUGAUCUUCCCAGGAAUUCAAACCCAGGAAUUGGAAGAAUUGGUGGGAAGAUUACAGAAACACUAUCCACCCAAAGAAAUGGUGUUAAUAUCAGGCAUGGACUUGCAAGUUACUCGGCGCCUAAAUCUGCUAAUGCUGAUCCUCGCUUAAAGGCAGCACCAGGCAUUGCAACUAGAAAUGGUGGUGGGCUUUCUAGUAGCUGGAAGAAUUCUGAGGAAGAGGAGUUCAUGUGGGAUGAUAUGAACUCAAGAUUAACAGAUCAUGGCCCCUCAGAUAUUUCUAGUAACUCAAGAAAAGAUCACUGGGCCUCUGAUGAUUCAGAGAGAUUGGGGUUUGGAGGUCAUUUUCGUAAACCAAAAAGUGUAAAUGAUUAUGCAUCAACAGCUGAUCCGGAUACCUCUGCUGACCCUACUGAACAGAAGGACCCAUCUGCUCUUGGUCACCGGAUGUCAUCACCUUGGACAUUGCAGGACUCUAUCGGUGUUGACAGGCUGACCCCUUCUGGUACUCCUGUCAUUAGUUCGGUUCACUCAGAUCGUUAUGCUUCAAGUUUAAGUGGGCUAUCGACAAGUGGAGAUUUAUCUGUGGCCAGGAUGGGAAGUAGAGCACAAGUAGCAUCUUCUCGCAUUGGAGCGUCAAGUAUUGGAUUUAGUGCAGCAUCAGGGCCUACUGGAGCUUUAGGGAAACAGCAGCAACUUCAGUCUGUGAGAGCUGCAUCACCAUCUGGGCAGUCACUGAUGCACCAGUAUUCUCCCUCACCUACAUCAACAGUACAACACCCUCGUCAUCAUUUGCAAAGUUUAGCUGAGCAAGACCUUGCUGAGGACCCUUUGCCAAUCCCAACUCCCAAUGCUCGACUGGGUAGCAAAGCAAAAUCACAGCCUCAAGAUUUAUCUUUGUCAAUUCCUGCCAUCCAAUCAAGGCACAAAUAUGCCUCUCAACAACAACCAGACAGUAUAGAGUCUGAAUCUUUCGGUCACACUAAGAAGCCCCAUGUGCUACCGGUCUCCACUUUUUCAACUCCGUCAACUGUUGGAGAUUCUAUACCAGAUCAUUCAAAUGUCAUUGCUGCAGAAACCUCAGGACAGUUGAGCACUAGUAGUUUGUUGGCUGCCGUUAUGAAGACUGGAAUUUUAUCUAACAAAUCAAUUAGUGGUAGCCUACCGAAUUUGAAUCUUCGGGACAUGGGACAUAUUCCAUCACUGUCAGGUGUUCAGUCUCCCUUUCCAAGUGGACCUCCCCCUACUCAGGUUGCACUCCCAGGGUCCAAGGUUGCCUCAGCACUUACAUCAGGUCGCCUUUCUGGUGAUAACUCACCAGCUUCCUCAAAUGUAUCACAGAAGAAGGUAGGCCAUCUGCCACUUUCACAUAGCCAACCUCCUUCAUCUCUCGAGGGUAGUGCGUCAGCAAGUUCUUCAACUGUGGUGAAUAAUUCCUCGGAUCCAAUUUCUAGCCUUUUAAGCUCCUUAGUUGCAAAGGGUUUGAUAUCUGCAUCAAAGUCAGAGUCGCUCACUCCUGUGCCAUCCCAAAAGCCGACUGAACUGCAAAGCAAGAGCCUUGGUGGACCUGCCACCAGUUUAGUGUCAGUGUCUCCAGUUUCAGUUUCAACAAGUCUUCCUGUUUCAUCUCGAACUGAUGAUGCAUCUCUCCCAGAACCUGCAGCUAAAACAUCUGCUGCCUUACCUCAAAUUACCAAGACAGAAAUAAGAAACCUCAUUGGCGUUGAGUUUAAGCCAGAUAAAAUCCGAGAAUUCCAUCCAGCCGUGAUUGAUGAACUUUUUAAUGACCUUCCACAUAAGUGUAGCAUAUGUGGCCUUAAGCUCAAACUUAGAGAACGACUUGAGAGACACUUGGAAUGGCAUGCUUCGAAAAAUCCCAAAGCCAAUGGUUCAGCUAUGGCAUCAAGGAAGUGGUAUCCAAAUUUAACCAGCUGGGUUGCUGGAAAAGCAGGACACCCUUUGGUACCUGAGGCCAACAAUUCAAUAGACGAGCCUAAUGAGACGAUGGACAUUGACGAGCCCAUGGUUCCUGCAGACGAAAACCAAUGUGCAUGUGUUAUAUGUGGUGAUAUUUUUGAAGAUUUUUAUCGUCAAGAAAGGGAUGAAUGGAUGUUCAAAGGAGCUUCGUACAUGAGUAUUCCAUCUGGGGCCGGUGAGAUGGAAACCACAGAGGAGAGUGUUUUGAAGGGUCCCAUUGUGCAUGUAAAUUGUACAGUGGAAAGUUCACUCUCUGAUUUGGGAUUGCUGAGCCAUGUUAAAUUGGAACCGGAAAUUUAGCGCUCGAAGCUGAAGAGACAAAACUCCAUGCAUUCUGAACUUUUGAGGGAAUUCCAGGUUUUAGAUUAAUGUGUCUUUAGAUGUGAAUCUUCGAUACCUCUUUUUCGUGCGCCACAAAAUAGUGCGAUUUGCGCUUGAUACCAUAGUCGUCGUCCGAUCUUAGUGCAACAACGAAAACACCUCCGAUCCUCCGAACGAAAGCAUUCCAGCUUCACAAUCGGCAUGUGUUUGUGGCCCUUGAGGGAUGCCUCUGUAUCAUGGUACCAUUAGUGGAGCAAUGUUUUUAUAAUUUAUGUUUUCAAUUUUUACUUUUUUUUUGUGGGUGUAGUUUAUAGCCUUUGGAGUUGAAUACUGUCUACUCUCGAUGUUUGUGGAAAGAUAAUGGAUAAAUGUUACUUUACCUUCCCAAA